UCUCUCUGCCCUCUACAUCCCAUUCUCAUCCCCACUGGUUAGCUGCUACCCACAGCACCUCCCGCUCGGAAACAGGGACGAGGAGGGGUCAGUAAAAGAGCAAAGGUCUGGUGGCACAGACCUGACCCCGUAGUCCCAGCGAGCGAGAGGCAGAGGCGGGAGCAUUUCAAGUCCUGAGCCAGGCCAGCCUCUCCCAAAACCCAAACAACACACUAACAACAACAACAACAACAAAAAGGUACAUUCUUACUCCGCUCCUGGCACUCACACCCACCGUUGUCACUGCCCUCUCCCUCGGUACUCACUGAAGCUAGGAUGAAGGCUAAGGGCCCAGCCGCCCCUCCCAAGCUAACUUCUGACAUCACACAGGCCCUGAUGCAGGUGAGUCACUGUCAGGCUGACCUCACCUAGUACCUCCAGCUCCCGGUUACCAGCAUACUCCUCCAGGGAUGGCAUCCAGCACACUCUGGCUUACCUCAGAGCUUCCCCAAGUUCGUCAGCAGUGGCUCCGUUGGGGAGCUCUUCAGACCAACUGGAGGAUGGGCUGCCGGCCUCCCCACUGGCAAUGCUGCCCCCCGCAGCUCGGGGGUGGAAGAGGUGCUCACAGAAGCAAGAGGAGGGCCGUCAGAUCUUCUGGAACUGGAACUAUAGACAGCUGUGAACCUCAAAUGUGAGUGCUUGGAAACCUAACUCAGAUUCUCUGUGAAAACAGCUCUGAGCCAUCUCACCAGCCCCCAGAGAAGAAAACUUACAUUACUACUUUGCAGAUGAAAUAAGACUCUUAAAAGAAAAUUCCUCUAAAAUGAA